rnacentral:tRNA from 1 species
AGGGGUGUAGCUUAGUUGGUAAAGCGGUCCGACGUCACGUCGGACAGACCGUAGGUUCGAUCCCUACCGCGCCUG